UACAGUCUUCCAUAAACAGAUCUUGUGUUACCAGAUCAUAGCAAAGAAAGAACACUUGGCCAUGGGACACCAGGGUGAGUAGGCACCAAGUGAGCUAUCUAUGAAUAGCUCAAUUUUGUCAUACUUGUCAAGUGAUAAAAUCAGAUGUUCUCAGCAGUCCACAGUAAAAUGGAGAUGGUACACCUGAGACAGAUUUCAAGCAGGACCAGUGAGUUCAGAAGGAUGAAAGAUAUCAAGCUGCAGAUUCAAGAAGUUUUAUGAAGCACGUUACACAGAGUGCACUGGCAACUGGCAGAUAAGAAGGGAAGAAGACUUAUUACAUAAGUUAUUUAUGGACUCUCUCAAUCAUAUUACUUACAGGAUAAGGAUGAUUCAGAAAGUAGUCUGGGAAAUAGGAUAGCCAUAAACUUCAAUAGGCUACUUACUGUAUUAUCUCAUCUAACUCAACAGUAGUGUAGACAUUAUAGUAUUUUUUCUUCUAAGUUCCAAAUGAGAAAGAAUGAGUAAUGUUUAUUUUCUCAAGUUCACACAGUUGCAUGGACUCCAACUGCAAUCCAUGUUUGUUUGACAUAACAGCCCAAACUCUAAACUAUUCCAUUCUGCAACAUUUCAAUCAUGUGAACAUAUAAAUUUAUUUUUAGUCCCCCAAAAUGAUGGCUUUCAAGAUCUAUCAUUUCACAAAUAUUAUUAUGUAUCCACAUAAGUACUAUAUAUUUUUUAAUUCAUUCACAUAUCCAUUAAUUCAGCAUACAUUUAGUACCUUCAAUGACCUAUAUACUUUCAGGCAUUUGAGUUACAUUAGUGGCAACAACCGUAAAGGGUCUUAGAUUUUUCCCUACAUGGAAGCUCAUCAGUUAACCUGCCAUGAUUUCAUAGAGAAGGUUAAGAAACAAAUCCUGGACCAAAGAUAAAGAAAGGUUUUAUUGACAGCACAGCAGGCAAUAUCAAUGUGUGUUGGCACCAGUUUCCCUUACCCCAUCAGCCAUACAGAGCGGGAAUGACUUCAGAGGAUUCUCUGCACACAGUGGAUUUGCAACACUCCUGAAAAGCUGAAUAUCAGUAACGUCCAAUAUUUUAUGAUAGGAUGCCAGCAAACAUGGCCAGGCCAACUUAUGACCUGCAGAGAGAGACUAUAUUUAUUAUUAUACACAAAAACUUGCCCCUCUACUUUCAAGGGAGAUACUGUGAUUUCUUCCACGAGUGUUUGCCAUACAAAAAUCCUUGAAAAGAUAAUCCAGAUUAAAAGGCCAUAGUACCUGUGCCUAAAAUAAGUGCAAAAAAGAAAAUGACCUGUUGAGAACUCAAUAAUUAAUGGACAAAAGUUCUUUCUUGUGAAGCUUACGCUCUAAGACAAAAAAGCAAAUAUAAUAAGUUUUUCAAUUAAAUGUGAAUGCCAGAGGGAAAAAAGAGUAGAUAAAGGAGACUGGGAGAUUUAGGGAGUGCAAUGUAAAUUUUGGCUGAUCAGAGUAGGCCCAGAUGAGAAUGCAUGAUGGACAAAGAAUUAAAGCCUUGAAGGAAAAAUUUUUCAUGAAUACAGCAUUUUCACUUGCUUUUAUAUUAAUUUUGCUGUUCUUGGGAAAAAUGAAUUCACCUAAAAUAAAACAUGUUCAUAAUUUUGUUGAUUGUAGGUCAAGACCUCACAGGAGAAUGAUUAAGAAUAUAGAAGAGGAGACCUCUCUUAACCAGCAUUUUCAUAUAUGAAGUUUACUAGAGAUAGGAUUAUAUACAUAUAUUUGGGGUUUGAUUAACAGUUACAUUCAAGUCCCCCAAACAUUUCUCUGGUAAAGCAAUUUUGAAUUCCCAAAGUACUUCGGCCUAUUUUAUAAUCCUUUUGGUACCCAUUUUCGUGUAAAUGAGAAACCAAUUUUCUCAAGAGAAGCAAACAAACAAAACCUCAUCUCAAGUCCCCAGAGGUUCAAGUUGACUUUGCAGGCCAAGGCCCAUGAGGUGAAAGUGUUUCUAAUCUUGGCACUGUACAUUUUCCUUGCCUGUGAUAUCCUCUUCUGGUCAUUACCCAUGGUGCUCUCUCAACUCACAGUUAAUUCAUCCAAACUGGCUUAUCCUCUGGGACACAACGGGGAAGUUUGAGCCUACUUAUGGCUGCAGGAAAUGCUAUUCUGUGUAUUUAAAGGGAACAGGAAAAUGAUAGUUUGGAUACUGUAAAAUCCUGCAAUCCCUUGAGGACAGUAUACUUCACAUAAGGCAUGAUGAUAAAAAGAUACAACAGAUUUUUACACGGAUCACCAAAGCCAAUUCAGAGGCAUAAUAUCAUUAUAGGAAAUUUACACUACCAUGUGAUAGGACAGCAUAUAUACAGCUUAUAUAAAUAUCUGAAUUAGGUUUAAGGAUUUGGUGAAAAUUAAUGUGCUUCAUAUAACUUACUAAAAUAAAUUUCCUGCUGACUCA